rnacentral:rRNA from 1 species
UACAGAGGUCUCAAGCGUUUGUUCGGAUUCAUUGGGCGUAAAGGGUGCGUAGGUGGCGAGGCAAGUCUGGUGUGAAAUCCCGGGGCUCAACCCCGGAACUGCACUGGAUACUGCUUUGCUAGAGUACUGGAGAGGAGAUUGGAAUUUACGGUGUAGCAGUGAAAUGCGUAGAUAUCGUAAGGAACACCAGUGGCGAAGGCGACUACCUGGCCUGUUCUUGACGCUGAGGCGCGAAAGCUAGGGGAGCAAACGGG